CCCUUAGAUGUUCUGGGCCGCACGCGUGCUACACUGAGUGGAUCAGCGGGUCAGGUUGCGCGAAAGCGUUUCCUAAUCUUUAAAUCCGCUCGUGAUGGGGAUUGACGGUUGCAAUUUUCUGUCAAGAACGAGGAAUACCUUGUAAGCGCGGGUCAUCAUCCCGCGCUGAAUACGUCCCUGCCCUUUGUACACACCGCCCGUCGCUCCUACCGAUUGAGUGGUCCGGUGAGGCUUUGGGAUCUGAGCGGAAAGAGCGUUUCGCUGUUUCUGCUCGGAAAACUCAGUCGAACCUUAUCAUUUAGAGGAAGGAGAAGUCGUAACA
rnacentral:rRNA from 1 species